rnacentral:rRNA from 1 species
CCCUAUGGGGUGCCGCUUCUUGUAGGCAUCCCAUUCCUUGGCAACUUCGUCAUAGAUGAAGCGCUCCUGCGGGCUGGCCACCAGCUGUGCGUAGCCCUGGACUAUCUUGUCGCCUUCGUCAAAGGACUUCUGCACCUCCUGGCCCAUGGAGCUGAACUCUUCGGCCGUGCUGGAGGUGAGGUAGCGCAGCUGGUAGCGCCGGGCCUUGUUCAGCGCGUCGUUGGCCUUGCCGAGCUCGCGGAUGCGGGGCAGCCAGUUGCCUGCCAGCUCGUUGAUGUCGUGGCUCAUGGUCUUCAUGGCGCUGAAGCUCACCGCUCCGAGGACGAGCAGGAGGGCGAGCAUGAUACCGAACCCAAGGGACAGCUGGCGCGAGAGCUUCAUGGUGGCGAACAUGGAAAACCUCCAACAGGGUUAACGGCGGCGGGAGAGC